rnacentral:rRNA from 1 species
AUUGAACGCUGGCGGCAUGCCUUACACAUGCAAGUCGAACGGCAGCACGGGAGCAAUCCUGGUGGCGAGUGGCGAACGGGUGAGUAAAGUAUCGGAACGUGCCCAGUCGUGGGGGAUGACGUAGCGAAAGUUACGCUAAUACCGCAUACGAUCUAUGGAUGAAAGCGGGGGAUCGCAAGACCUCGCGCGAUUGGAGCGGCCGAUAUCAGAUUAGGUAGUUGGUGGGGUAAAGGCUCACCAAGCCGACGAUCUGUAGCUGGUCUGAGAGGACGACCAGCCACACUGGGACUGAGACACGGCCCAGACUCCUACGGGAGGCAGCAGUGGGGAAUUUUGGACAAUGAGCGAAAGCCUGAUCCAGCCAUGCCGCGUGCAGGAUGAAGGCCUUCGGGUUGUAAACUGCUUUUGUACGGAACGAAAAGGUUUGGCCUAAUAAGCUGAGCUCAUGACGGUACCGUAAGAAUAAGCACCGGCUAACUACGUGCCAGCAGCCGCAGUAA